AACUGGCCUGUCCUCAGUAUCAUCAACAGUAACUGUCUAUUCCGUGGCGGAUUUACACCACCAUAACAUCACUCGACUACCGGACUUGAAUUAUUAAUUAACAGUGAGCACAUCAAAGUGCGGGAAAAAUAUGAAAACUACAUUUAUUUACAUCUGUGUUUUGCUGGUGGCAGUGACGACGGCUCUUCGGCGAAAGAUCGACGGAGACUGUCUAGAAAGGCCACCGUCCGGUUCAUGCUGGCCCAGGAUGACCAGGUAUUUCUACAGCGCCGAGAGGAAGGCGUGUUUUCCCUUCCUCUGGAGUAAAUGUGACGAUACAGAUGAAGUGAAUGUGUUUGAAACAGAGCGAGAUUGUUUAAGUAUUUGUGAUCAUUGAUUUUUCUUCCAUUUUUCAUUAAACCAAAUCAUGAAUAAAGUAUAUACUUUUAGCAA